rnacentral:rRNA from 1 species
UGGCGACCGGCGCACGGGUGAGUAACACGUAUCCAACCUGCCGAUAACUCGGGGAUAGCCUUUACGAAAGAAAGAUUAAUAUCCGAUAGGAUAUCAAGAUCGCAUGAUCUUGAUAUUAAAGAAUUUCGGUUAUCGAUGGGGAUGCGUUCCAUUAGUUAGUUGGCGGGGUAACGGCCCACCAAGACGACGAUGGAUAGGGGUUCUGAGAGGAAGGUCCCCCACAUUGGAACUGAGACACGGUCCAAACUCCUACGGGAGGCAGCAG